GAUGAACGCUGGCGGCGUGCCUAAUACAUGCAAGUCGAGCGAAUGGAUUAAGAGCUUGCUCUUAUGAAGUUAGCGGCGGACGGGUGAGUAACACGUGGGUAACCUGCCCAUAAGACUGGGAUAAGUCCGGGAAACCGGGGCUACUACCGGAUAAUAUUUUGAACCGCAUGGUUCAAAAUUGAAAGGCGGCUUCGGCUGUCACUUCUGGAUGGACCUGCGUCGCAUUAGCUAGUUGGUGAGGUAACGGCUCACCAAGGCAACGAUGCGUAGCCGACCUGAGAGGGUGAUCGGCCACACUGGGACUGAGACACGGCCCAGACUCCUACGGGAGGCAGCAGUAGGGAAUCUUCCGCAAUGGACGAAAGUCUGACGGAGCAACGCCGCGUGAGUGAUGAAGGCUUUCGGGUCGUAAAACUCUGUUGUUAGGGAAGAACAAGUGCUAGUUGAAUAAGCUGGCACCUUGACGGUACCUAACCAGAAAGCCACGGCUAACUACGUGCCAGCCGCCGCAGUAA
rnacentral:rRNA from 1 species